AGAGAACAUUGGGUGGGUUGGCUUGGGGAACUUCUCCGAUGCUAAAGUCAGUAUGGGUACUGAGUAGAAUAUAAAAUUGACCAAAGAGAAUAGAAAAUGAAGUUAUGAAAGCCAAUUUACACUUUGUUACCCCACAUUUCACUGAUACUAAAUGCAUAAAAAAGAAAUAUAUAAAAAAUUGAACUUUAUAUCAUACACUAUCCUUGCAAAAAUUAAAAACAGCUUGUUACUUUUAUUAUAUCAAGUAAAACACACCCUCACAUCUUGGGUUUUUGGACUUUUUGUUUGUUACGAUAUCUUUUCAUUUUUGUCUUAUUGUUUGCUUUAGGUGUUGGAUUAGAUAGAAGGGUUGAGAGAGGGAGAGAGAGAGAAGUAUUUUGAAAUAGCUUGUUAUGAUAUGCAUUAUUGUAGAAUUUUGACACGUGCCAACUUGAUUGGCCAUUUUGGAAU
rnacentral:misc_RNA from 1 species